CUAAAUACUACCCAGUGACCGAUAGCGUAUAGUACUGUGAAGGAAAGGUGAAAAGCACCCCGGGAGGGGAGUGAAAAAGAACCUGAAACCCUGUGCCUACAAGCACCUAGAGCGCGUCAAAGCGUGAUAGGGUACUUUUUGUAGAACGGUCCGGCGAGCGAUUGUAUGCAGCAAGGUUAAGGACUUAAGGUCUGGAGCCGAAGCGAAAGCGAGUUUGAAAAGGGCGUUAAGUUGCAUAUAAUGGGCCCGAAACCGGGUGACCUACCCAUGGUCAGGUUGAAGUGGAAGUAAAAUUCCAUGGAGGACCGAACCGACCUCCGUUGAAAAGGCGGCGGAUGAACUGUGGGUAGCGGAGAAAUUCCAAUCGAACCCGGAGAUAGCUGGUUCUCCCCGAAAUAGUUUUAGGACUAGCCUCAAGUUAGAUACCUGGAGGUAAAGCACUGAAUAGCCUAGCGGCCGAGAGGUUAGCGAAGCUUAUCAAACUCAGAAUGCCAGAGUAUUGAUGCUUGGGAGUCAGACAGUGUCAGAUAAAUGUCAUUGUCAAAAGGGAAACAGCCCAGAUCUACAGCUAAGGUCCCAAAGUCAGGUUAAGUGGAAAACGAUGUGAAGAUACGCAGACAACCAGGAUGUUGGCUCAGAAGCAGCCACUCAUUCAAAGAGUGCGUAAUAGCUCACUGGUCGAGCGUCUUUGCGCGGAGAAUUUAACGGGGCUAAACCUGACACCGAAGCUUAGGCAAUACAGCAAUGUAUUGGGUAGGGGAGCGUUGUAUACGCGGAGAAACAGUAGCGCAAGCGGCUGUGGAGUGUAUAGAAGUGAGAAUGCCGGAAUGAGUAGCGCGAAUGCAGUGAGAAUCUGCAUGGCCGAAAGCCUCAGGUUUUUGGAGGAAGGUUCGUCCGCUCCAAGUUAGUCGGGAGCUAAGGUGAGGCCGGAAGGCGUAGCCGAUGCACAGACGGUAGAGAUUCCGUCACCACCAAAAGAGUUAAGCACAGGGACACAUUUGAAGUCUCAGAGCCGGGUGUUGGUUCCGGUAGAGAUCGAGGGAAAUUAGUACCGAAGUCUGAGAUGGAAGAUGGCGAGAAAAGCUGUGUGUAUUUCUGAGGUGCCCGUACCGCAAACCGACACAGGUAGGUAGGAAGAAGAUUCUAAGGCCAACGGGAGAAGGGUUGUUAAGGAACUCGGCAAAUUGACCCCGUAACUUCGGGAGAAGGGGUGCUCCAGAGAUGGAGCCGCAGAGAAUCGGCCCAAGCAACUGUUUACCAAAAACACAGGUUUGUGCUAAAUCGAAAGAUGACGUAUACGAGCUGACGCCUGCCCGGUGCUGGAAGGUUAAGAGGAGAUGUGCAAGCAUUGAAUCGAAGCCCCAGUGAACGGCGGCCGUAACUAUAACGGUCCUAAGGUAGCGAAAUUCCUUGUCAGGUAAGUUCUGACCCGCAUGAAAGGCGUAAUGAUUUGGGCACUGUCUCAACAGCCCGCCCGGCGAAAUUGUAGUACCGGUGAAGAUGCCGGUUACCCGCGACAAGACGGAAAGACCCCAUGGAGCUUUACUGUAGCCUAAUAUUGGGUUUCGAUGUUGCAUGCACAGGAUAGAUGGGACACUGGGAAACAGGAGCUUUGGCUUCUGCGGAGUGGCCGUUGGGAUACCAUCCUUGCGAUAUUGGAAUUCUAACCUGCGGCUCUGAAUCGAGUCGGGGGACAUUGUUAGGUGGGCAGUUUGACUGGGGCGGUCGCCUCCUAAAGAGUAACGGAGGCGUUCAAAGGUUCGCUCAGCUUGAACGGAAAUCAAGCAAAAGAGUGCAAACGCAGAAGCGAGCCUAACUGCGAGACUGACGGGUCGAGCAGUAACGAAAGUUGGAGUUAGUGAUCCGGUGGUAUGUGAGUGGAAAUGCCAUCGCUCAACGGAUAAAAGUUACCCUGGGGAUAACAGGCUGAUCUCCCCCAAGAGUCCACAUCGACGGGGAGGUUUGGCACCUCGAUGUCGGCUCAUCGCAUCCUGGGGCUGUAUUCGGUCCCAAGGGUUUGGCUGUUCGCCAAUUAAAGCGGUACGCGAGCUGGGUUCAGAACGUCGUGAGACAGUUCGGUCCCUAUCUGUCGUGGGCGCAGGAUAUUUGAUGGGAGCUGUCCCUAGUACGAGAGGACCGGGACGGACGUACCUCUGGCGCACCAGUUGUUCCGCCAGGAGCAUAGCUGGGCAACUACGUACGGAUCGGAUAAACGCUGAAAGCAUCUAAGCGUGAAGCCGACCCAAAGAUAAGAUAUCCCA
rnacentral:rRNA from 1 species